rnacentral:rRNA from 1 species
UACGUAGGGGGCAAGCGUUGUCCGGAAUCAUUGGGCGUAAAGAGCGCGUAGGCGGUCCGGUAAGUCCGCUCUGAAAGUCCGGGGGCUCAACCCCGGGAGGCGGGCGGAUACUGUCGGGCUAGAGUCCGGAAGAGGCGAGUGGAAUUCCUGGUGUAGCGGUGAAAUGCGCAGAUAAUCGGGAAGAACACCCGUGGCGAAGGCGGCUCUCUGGACCGAGACUGACGCUGAGGCGCGAAAGCGUGGGGAGCAAACAGG